GACGAACGCUGGCGGCGUGCUUAACACAUGCAAGUCGAACGAAGAGCGAUAGAAGCUUGCUUCUAUCAAUCUUAGUGGCGAACGGGUGAGUAACGCGUAAUCAACCUGCCCUUCAGAGGGGGACAACAGUUGGAAACGACUGCUAAUGCCGCAUACGAUCUGACCUCGGCAUCGAGGAUAGAUGAAAGGUGGCCUCUAUUUAUAAGCUAUCACUGAAGGAGGGGAUUGCGUCUGAUUAGCUAGUUGGAGGGGUAACGGCCCACCAAGGCGAUGAUCAGUAGCCGGUCUGAGAGGAUGAACGGCCACAUUGGGACUGAGACACGGCCCAGACUCCUACGGGAGGCAGCAGUGGGGAAUCUUCCGCAAUGGACGAAAGUCUGACGGAGCAACGCCGCGUGAGUGAUGACGGCCUUCGGGUUGUAAAGCUCUGUUAAUCGGGACGAAAGGCCUUCUUGCGAAUAGUUAGAAGGAUUGACGGUACCGGAAGAGAAAGCCACGGCUAACUACGUG
rnacentral:rRNA from 1 species